rnacentral:rRNA from 1 species
UACGUAGGGACCAAGCGUUGUCCGGAAUCAUUGGGCGUAAAGAGCGUGUAGGCGGCUUGUUAAGUCUUGUGUGAAAUCUCGGGGCUCAACCCCGAGCGGUCGUGGGAAACUGGGCGGCUAGAGUGCGGGAGAGGAGAGUGGAAUUCCUGGUGUAGCGGUGGAAUGCGCAGAUAUCAGGAAGAACACCCGUGGCGAAGGCGGCUCUCUGGAACGCAACUGACGCUGAGACGCGAAAGCGUGGGGAGCAAACAGG